GCAAAAUCCUGGCUUGCUGGAGAAAUCUUUUUCUCUUAUGCUGAAGACUCCAAGAUUUAUUGAUUUUGAUAACAAGAGAUUCCACUUCCGAUCAAAAAUUAAACAUCAACAUGACCAUCACCACAGCCCAUUAAGAAUAUCAGUGAGAAGGGCGUAUGUUCUUGAGGAUUCAUAUAACCAGCUUCGCAUGAGAUCAACUCAAGAUUUGAAGGGAAGGUUGACUGUUCAUUUCCAAGGUGAAGAAGGUAUCGAUGCAGGUGGGCUUACACGGGAAUGGUAUCAAUUGUUGUCCAGAGUUAUUUUUGACAGAGGAGCACUGCUCUUUACUACAGUAGGCAAUGAAUCAACAUUUCAGCCAAACCCUAACUCUGUUUACCAAACAGAACAUCUAUCUUAUUUCAAAUUUGUUGGUAGAGUGGUUGGAAAAGCUUUAUUUGAUGGUCAGCUCUUGGAUGUCCAUUU
rnacentral:sRNA from 1 species